rnacentral:tRNA from 1 species
UAACAUAGAAGUAAAAUAUUACAUUUAGUUUCGACCUAAAAUUAAAGAUAUAAUUUCUUCAUGUUUU